UGGCAAUGAUUAUAUUUUAUCCGCGCUUCUGAAAUAUUGAUGAAGCAUAAACGAAAUAGAAUGGUUGAAUUUCUUGAUAUGAGCUG